rnacentral:misc_RNA from 1 species
UCCUCGUUUAAGCGAGGCAGUCUGUCCAGAGUGCUCCGAGCUCUCGCUCAGGUGGCAACAGGACACAAGGGUUGCGCUCGUUGCGGGACUUAACCCAACAUCUCACGACACGAGCUGACGACAGCCAUGCAGCACCUGUGUACGCUGGUAUUGCUACCUCGUCAGGCUUUCACCCUUCUACUACGUACAUGUCAAGGCCAGGUAAGGUUCUUCGCGUUGCCUCGAAUUAAACCACACGCUCCGCUGCUUGUGCGGGCCCCCGCCUAUUCCUUUGAGUUUUAACCUUGCGGCCGUAGUCCCCAGGCGGUGAACUUAAUGCGUUAGCUGCGGCACUGAUCGGGUCAAUCCGACCAACACCUAGUUCACAACGUUUAGGGCGUGGACUAC